rnacentral:misc_RNA from 1 species
GAUGAAGAACGUAGCGAAAUGCGAUAAGUAAUGCGAAUUGCAGAUCUCCGUGAGUCAUUGAAUCUUUGAACGCACAUUGCGCCCUUUGGUAUUCCUUAGGGCAUGCCUGUUCGAGCGUCAUUUAAACCUUCAAGCUCAGCUUGGUGUUGGGUGACUGUCCGCUUCACCGCGGACUCGCCUCAAAAUUAUUGGCGGCCGGUACAUUGGCUUCGAGCGCAGCAGAAACGCGAACUCGGGCCCGUCGUAUUGGCUCCCAGAAGCUAUCUUCACAAUUUUGACCUCGGAUCAGGUAGGGAUACCCGCUGAACUUAAGCAUAUCAAUAAGCGGAGGA